rnacentral:misc_RNA from 1 species
UCUCCGUUGGUGAACCAGCGGAGGGAUCAUUGCUGGAACUGUGUCCGCAAGGACACAACCCCAGAUACCCUUUGUGAACUUAUACCUUACUGUUGCCUCGGCGCAGGCCGUCCCCCAUGGGGUCCCUCUGGAGACAGAGGAGCAGCCGGCCGGUGGCCAAAUUAACUCUGUUUUUACACUGAAACUCUGAGUACAAAACAUAAAUGAAUCAAAACUUUCAACAACGGAUCUCUUGGUUCUGGCAUCGAUGAAGAACGCAGC